rnacentral:rRNA from 1 species
UACGUAGGGUGCGAGCGUUAAUCGGAAUUACUGGGCGUAAAGCGUGCGCAGGCGGUUCGUUGUGUCGGUGGUGAAAGCCCCGGGCUUAACCUGGGAAUGGCCGUCGAAACUGGCGAACUGGAGUGUGGCAGAGGGGGGUGGAAUUCCGCGUGUAGCAGUGAAAUGCGUAGAGAUGCGGAGGAACACCGAUGGCGAAGGCGGCGAUCUGGGUCGAUACUGACGCUGAGGUGCGAAAGCGUGGGGAGCAAACAGG